rnacentral:rRNA from 1 species
GACGAACGCUGGCGGCGUGCUUAACACAUGCAAGUCGAACGGAAAGGCCCUGCUUGCAGGGUACUCGAGUGGCGAACGGGUGAGUAACACGUGGGUGAUCUGCCCUGCACUUCGGGAUAAGCCUGGGAAACUGGGUCUAAUACCGGAUAGGAGCCAUUUUUAGUGUGAUGGUUGGAAAGUUUUUUCGGUGUAGGAUGAGCUCGCGGCCUAUCAGCUUGUUAGUGGGGUAAUGGCCUACCAAGGCGGCGACGGGUAGCCGGCCUGAGAGGGUGGACGGCCACAUUGGGACUGAGAUACGGCCCAGACUCCUACGGGAGGCAGCAGUGGGGAAUAUUGCACAAUGGGCGCAAGCCUGAUGCAGCGACGCCGCGUGGGGGAGGACGGCCUUCGGGUUGUAAACGCCUUUCGCUAGGGACGAAGCUUUUUGUGACGGUACCUAGAGAAGAAGCACCGGCUAACUACGUG